rnacentral:rRNA from 1 species
UACGUAGGUGGCAAGCGUUGUCCGGAUUUAUUGGGUUUAAAGGGUGCGUAGGCGGCCUUGUAAGUCAGUGCUGAAAUCUCCCGGCUUAACCGGGAGGGUGCGGCGAAUACUGAGAUGCUGGAGUGCCGGAGAGGUAAGCGGAAUUCCUGGUGUAGCGGUGAAAUGCGUAGAUAUCAGGAGGAACACCUGUGGCGAAAGCGGCUCACUGGACCAAAACUGACGCUGAUGCACGAAAGCUAGGGGAGCAAACAGG